rnacentral:rRNA from 1 species
AGUGAACGCUGGCGGCAUGCCUAACACAUGCAAGUCGAACGGCAGCACAAGAGAGCUUGCUCUCUGGGUGGCGAGUGGCGGACGGGUGAGGAAUGCAUCGGAAUCUGCCCAUUUGUGGGGGAUAACCUCGGGAAACCGGGACUAAUACCGCAUACGACCUACGGUUGAAAGCGGGCGAUCUUCGUACCUUGCUCAGAUGGGUAAGCCGAUGCCGGAUUAGCUAGUUGGAGGGGUAAAGGGCGACCAAGGCGACGAACCGUAGCUGGUCCGAGAGGAUGAUUCGACAGCCUGGCACUGAGAAAGGGCACAGACACCGACGGGGGGCAGCAGCCGGGACUAUUGGACGAUGGGCGAAAGCCUAAUACAGGCAUGCCGCGUGUGUGAAGAAGGCGUUAGGGUUGUAAAGCAAUUUUGUUGGGAAAGAAAAGCAGCCGGUUAAUACCCGGUUGUCAUGACGGUACCCAAAGAAUAAGCACCGGCUAACUUCGUG